rnacentral:rRNA from 1 species
CAAUAGCGUAUAUUAAAGUUGUUGCAGUUAAAACGCUCGUAGUCGGAUUUCGGGGCGGGGCCGCCGGUCUGCCGAUGGGUAUGCACUGGCGGGCGCGUCCUUCCUUCCGGAGACUGGCCCUACUCUUAACUGAGCGGGGUCGGGAAUCGGAUCGUUUACUUUGAAAAAAUCAGAGUGUUUCAAGCAGGCAAUUUGUUCUUGCAUGGAUUAGCAUGGGAUAAUGAAAUAGGACUUUGGUGCUAUUUUGUUGGUUUCGAACACCGAAGUAAUGAUUAACAGGGACAGUCAGGGGCACUCGUAUUCCGCCGAGAGAGGUGAAAUUCUCAGACCAGCGGAAGACGAACUACUGCGAAAGCAUUUGCCAGGGAUGUUUNCACUG